rnacentral:lncRNA from 1 species
UGCUAUUUCCCCCAUCUCCCAUGGAAGAGCAGUAAAUAUGGGUCACUAAAAUUAGUCUUGCACGGCAGCUAUUCUGACUGGUGCCUCUGCUAUUCCUGCUCCUCUGGCUCCAGCUCAUGCCUGAAUAAAGACCUCUGCCUGGUUUUAAUCAGCUCUAGCAGUUGGUUUUGAGGAACAAGUAGAUUCACCAGGAGAAAGUAACUAUUUGCUGUUGUAACAAUUUUCUCCCCUUUGUCCUCACAGGCCAAGCCUGGCUGCCCUUGGACUGCCCUUGGAGGGUCGUGGAGGUUACAGAGCUGGGCUCUGUGCUUAUGAAGGACCAGGCGGCUUGCCAGCAAAGGCCAAAGGACAGCGAUACCUUUCGAUUUGUUAUAGGCCUCUGAGGGGAUCUGUAACCAGAGAACAACAGGCGUCAGGAGCCAGCAAACCUUGGCACCAGCAGUGAGAUCUCCUGAUGUGAGCUCUGUGCUGAGGGUAACUGGGCACUUGGAUGGGAGGAAAGAAAAGCGGAGGAGGAACAGGUAUGAUUUUAAUUUUGACUUAAGCGUUUCGCGGUGUCUGUCACAACAGUUCUUAGUGAGCAACCUGGGAAAACACUGUAGAUGAAAGUCGAUGAGCUGGGAGUGCAGGUGUCCUUGAGUGGUUCAUGUUAGCUUGCUGUCAAAGGAGGAUGGCCCAGCUAGUGUCCCCUGUCUCCUGCUGGUACCCUGCUCUGAGAGUGGAGAGCAUUUAGCAGAGAUCAGUGUGAUAAGAGGUUUAGAAAACAUGACCUAUGAGGAAGGGUGGGAGGAAUUGAGGCUGUUUAGUCUAGGGGUGAUUGAGGGGAGAUAGAGAGCUCAGGAUUUUAAAAAUAAGCUCUGUGUUUUGGAAAGCUUUGUAGUGGGUGAAGCUCUAAGGCAGGCCAUGAAGGAAGGCUCCCCUUAAAGUUGGUCUGUCCAGGAUGGGGUUGCUGCUCUCAGCUGCUCUCAGUGAAGUGCAGUGAAGCACUGGCCUUUCCAUUCCCUCUUUUGCUAGGUUUCCGUGAUGCUUAAAAAUGCCCUUCU